CUGUACUCGGAUUCCUAUGGAUUUCCUUGCUGUCAAAAAAAGAACUGAAAUUGCUAUGGAUUUGCUUGCUGUCCAGGAAAAAGACAAUUGGUGGGAACUAUGUAAAGAUGCAAAAAAACAUAGGAAUAUACUUUCCCUGUCCAAUUAACAUGUUCAUUUUCUGUAUUCAAUAAAGCUGACAAAGCGUAGGCAAGCAAAAGAGAUACUGUCGUUGGAUGGUGUAUGAAUUAGAGACUUUUGCAGAGGUUCUAAAGACUUCCUAGAACUCAUCAAAAGUGCAUUUGUGGUGGGGCCCUGGAAGAUUAGAAGUAUAUCAGUUUGAACUCUAAUUUGUGUUCAUGUAUCAUGCAACCUUUAUUUUGUGAAGUUUUGCUGAA